UACAUGGGGUGCAAACGUUGCUCGGAAUUACUGGGCGUAAAGGGCGCGUAGGCGGCUUAUCAAGUCAGGCGUGAAAUUCCCGGGCUCAACCUGGGGGCUGCGCUUGAUACUGAUUGGCUUGAAUGCGGGAGAGGAUAGUGGAAUUCCCAGUGUAGAGGUGAAAUUCGUAGAUAUUGGGAAGAACACCGGUGGCGAAGGCGGCUAUCUGGCCCGUAAUUGACGCUGAGGCGCGAAAGCGUGGGGAGCAAACAGG
rnacentral:rRNA from 1 species